AAAAGAGAGGUGUGGGCCUUCAUUUCCCACACCUCUCAUUUUGGUCUUCCUUCUCUCUCCCUAGAAGCUUUCUCUGCUGGAGUUUUUGAUUAUCGGUAGUUUGUUGAUGAAGUUGUGAAGGUACUUAUUUAUUUUUCUUAUUUUUGCUUUUAUCAUCAAUCCGUCAGUCUUGGAGAUUCGGCCUUCGAUCUCAACCUUCAGUCUUUGGUAUCGUGCUCUUGUUGCUUUUGCUUUCAGUCAGUGCUUUAUUGCUUCUACUUUUGAUAUUCAGUAUUACAUUUGACCUUCGAUGUUGGUUUUGUUAUUUCAGCUUUCGAUCUUCGGUCUUCAAUGUUGGUGCUUUUUUAUUUUGGCUUUUGGUCUUCAGUGUUCCGCCUUGCGUGGCUUCCUCAUGGAUCCUCCAAACGUUCCUCACUUGGAAUGGUCAGAAGGAGCCACUACAACAUUAUAUAUAUUUAGAGCUAUGGAAACUUAUGGGUGAAGAGGGAAGCAGCGUGGCUAAUGAGUUUCAGAUGAGAGAGUGACGUGGCUAAGAGUGUUUGCAUUUAGCUUUAGCAUUUUCGAUACAUAGAUUUAAGUUUUUAUUAAUUUUACUUAAUAUAGCGUGGAUAUAAAAUGAACAAUUACUUUUUAUUUAAAUGUUUUUUUUAUACAUAUAGAAACAAAAUAAAAA
rnacentral:lncRNA from 1 species